rnacentral:rRNA from 1 species
CUGCUGCCUCCCGUAGGAGUUUGGGCCGUGUCUCAGUCCCAAUGUGGCCGUUCACCCUCUCAGGCCGGCUACUGAUCGUCGCUUUGGUGGGCCGUUACCCCGCCAACUGGCUAAUCAGACGCGGAUCCAUCGUAUACCACCGGAGUUUUUCACACUGUUCCAUGCGGAACCGUGCGCUUAUGCGGUAUUAGCACCUAUUUCUAAGUGUUACUCCCCCUGUAUACGGCAGGUUAUCCGCGCGUUACUCACCCGUCCGCCACCUAACCCAA